GCCAGUGUGCCAUAGUGGUUUGAGUGUUGGAUUAUGACUCUAAAGAGAACAGGGUUCAAUUCCCUGCUGGGCCA